AACUUUCAACAACGGAUCUCUUGGUUCUGGCAUCGAUGAAGAACGCAGCGAAAUGCGAUAAGUAAUGUGAAUUGCAGAAUUCAGUGAAUCAUCGAAUCUUUGAACGCACAUUGCACCCUCUGGUAUUCCGGGGGGUAUAUUUGUUCCAGCGUUAUUA
rnacentral:rRNA from 7 species